AACGAACGCUGGCGGCAGGCCUAACACAUGCAGGUCGAGCGAGGACUUCGGUCCUAGCGGCGGACGGGUGAGUAACGCGUGGGAACGUGCCCUUUGCUUCGGAAUAGCCCUGGGAAACUGGGAGUAAUACCGGAUGAGCCCUUUGGGGGAAAGAUUUAUCGGCGAAGGAUCGGCCCGCGUUGGAUUAGGUAGUUGGUGGGGUAAUGGCCUACCAAGCCGACGAUCCAAAGCUGGUUUGAGAGGAUGAUCAGCCACACUGGGACUGAGACACGGCCCAGACUCCUACGGGAGGCAGCAGUGGGGAAUCUUAGACAAUGGGGGAAACCCUGAUCUAGCCAUGCCGCGUGAGCGAUGAAGGCCUUAGGGUUGUAAAGCUCUUUCAGCUGGGAAGAUAAUGACGGUACCAGCAGAAGAAGCCCCGGCUAACUCCGUG
rnacentral:rRNA from 1 species